rnacentral:rRNA from 1 species
AGCGAACGCUGGCGGCAGGCCUAACACAUGCAAGUCGAACGAAGUCUUCGGAUUUAGUGGCGGACGGGUGAGUAACACGCGCGUAAUCUGCCCUUGGCUUUGGGAUAGCUUCGGGAAACCGCAAUUAAUACCGGAUAUGUCACGGUCUCGCAUGAGAUCCGUGUGGAAAGUUUUUUCGGCCAGGGAUGUGCUCGCGGCCUAUCAGCUUGUUGGUGGGGUAAUGGCCUACCAAGGCUUCGACGGGUAGCCGGCCUGAGAGGGUGACCGGCCACACUGGGACUGAGACACGGCCCAGACUCCUACGGGAGGCAGCAGUGGGGAAUAUUGGACAAUGGGCGGAAGCCUGAUUCAGCAACGCCGCGUGAGGGAUGACGGCCUUCGGGUUGUAAACCUCUUUCACCACCGACGAAGCGCAAGUGACGGUAGGUGGGGAAGAAGCACCGGCCAACUACGUGCCAGCAGCCGCUGUAACAC